rnacentral:rRNA from 1 species
UGGGUAGUCCGCACGAGCGCACCUUACUUUUAGUUGCUACCAUUUAGUUGGGCACUCUAAAAGAACUGCCAGUGAUAAGCUGGAGGAAGGUGGGGAUGACGUCAAGUCCUCAUGGCCCUUAUGUGUUGGGCUACACACGUGCUACAAUGGUACUUACAGUGAGAAGCGAAGAGGCGACUCCAAGCUAAUCUCAAAAAGGUACCUCAGUUCGGAUUGUACUCUGCAACUCGAGUACAUGAAGCUGGAAUUACUAGUAAUCGCGGAUCAGCGCGCCGCGGUGAAUACGUUCCCGGGUCUUGUACACACCGCCCGUCACACCAUGGAAGUUGGUUACACCUUAAGGCAAAGCAUAAAACCUUUGACUACGGUACGAUCAGCGACUGGGGUGAAGUCGUAACAAGGUAGCCGUAGGGGAACCUGCGGCUGGAUCACCUCCUUUCU